rnacentral:rRNA from 1 species
UACGUAGGUGACAAGCGUUGUCCGGAUUUACUGGGCGUAAAGCGUGUGUAGGCGGUUUGUUAAGUCGGGUGUGAAAUCCCUGGGCUCAACCUGGGAAUUGCAUUCGAUACUGGCAAGCUAGAGUACGGUAGAGGGCGGCGGAAUUCCGGGUGUAGCGGUGAAAUGCGUAGAUAUCCGGAGGAACACCGAUGGCGAAGGCAACCGCCUGGGCCUGUACUGACGCUGAGACACGAAAGCGUGGGGAGCAAACAGG